rnacentral:rRNA from 1 species
UACGUAGGUGGCAAGCGUUGUCCGGAUUUACUGGGCGUAAAGAGCGCGCAGGCGGUCGGACAAGUCGCGUGUGGAAGCCCCCGGCUCAACUGGGGAGGGUCACGCGAUACUGUUCGACUCGAAGGCAGGAGAGGGAAGUGGAAUUCCCGGUGUAGUGGUGAAAUGCGUAGAUAUCGGGAGGAACACCAGUGGCGAAGGCGACUUCCUGGCCUGUUCUUGACGCUGAGGCGCGAAAGCUAGGGUAGCAAACGGG